ACGGAGGGUGCAAGCGUUAAUCGGAAUUACUGGGCGUAAAGCGCGCGUAGGUGGCUUGAUAAGCCGGUUGUGAAAGCCCCGGGCUCAACCUGGGAACGGCAUCCGGAACUGUCAAGCUAGAGUGCAGGAGAGGAAGGUAGAAUUCCCGGUGUAGCGGUGAAAUGCGUAGAGAUCGGGAGGAAUACCAGUGGCGAAGGCGGCCUUCUGGACUGACACUGACACUGAGGUGCGAAAGCGUGAGUAGCAAACAG
rnacentral:rRNA from 1 species